UAGGGAAUCUUCCGCAAUGGGCGAAAGCCUGACGGAGCAACGCCGCGUGAGUGAUGAAGGUCUUCGGAUCGUAAAACUCUGUUAUUAGGGAAGAACAAAUGUGUAAGUAACUAUGCACGUCCUGACGGUACCUAAUCAGAAAGCCACGGCUAACUACGUGCCAGCAGCCGCGGUAAUACGUAGGUGGCAAGCGUUAUCCGGAAUUAUUGGGCGUAAAGCGCGCGUAGGCGGUUUUUUAAGUCUGAUGUGAAAGCCCACGGCUCAACCGUGGAGGGUCAUUGGAAACUGGAAAACUUGAGUGCAGAAGAGGAAAGUGGAAUUCCAUGUGUAGCGGUGAAAUGCGCAGAGAUAUGGAGGAACACCAGUGGCGAAGGCGACUUUCUGGUCUGUAACUGACGCUGAUGUGCGAAAGCGUGGGGAUCAAACAGG
rnacentral:rRNA from 1 species